UACGGGGGGAGCAAGCGUUGUUCGGAUUUACUGGGCGUAAAGGGCGCGUAGGCGGCCACCGCAAGUCAGUUGUGAAAUCUCUGGGCUUAACCCAGAACGGUCAGCUGAUACUGCGGGGCUAGAGUGCAGAAGGGGCAACUGGAAUUCUCGGUGUAGCGGUGAAAUGCGUAGAUAUCGAGAGGAACACCUGCGGCGAAGGCGGGUUGCUGGGCUGACACUGACGCUGACAGCGCGAAAGCUAGGUGAGCGAACGGG
rnacentral:rRNA from 1 species